CACUCUGGAGACAUCUGAAUUUUUCAGAGGCCGAAGGUGCAAGGGGUGUUUCUCACCGAAUCUCUCAGGCAAAAGGACAGAGUA
rnacentral:ncRNA from 1 species